CUACGUAUUUCCGGAAUAGCACGUCAACAGGACGGUUUCUAGGCAAUGAAGGUUGUUGAUUUCUGCGAAAGGGGAAAAGUACCGAUUUUAUGCGGAAAAUAUUCCUUGUGGAAGAAAUUAAUUAUUGACUAAUGGAUAAACACAAUCUUCCAUUAUCGACUGCUGAGAUGAAAGAAAAAACUGAAGAUUUGGAUCCACCAGAAUAUUUAAUUUUUGCUUCAAAUCGCCUAAAACUCCAUUAACAGUUCAAAUAUUUUACAAACAGAAGCGUUGGAGGAACAGUUGGGUCGAUAACAAAAUUUCUUAGAUACUUUUUGGGCAUGGAAAGCGAGCGAAUCGCGACACUAAAUAUUCUCAUUUGUCCGACACAAAUAAUUCGUAUUUAAAUAACUCGGUCAGUAGGAAGGAACAUCUUAUGGUCACACCUUUAAUUUCAACAUACCGUAUGUAACCUAUUGUCUCACCCACACCCAUUACAAUACUGUUAUGGACACUGAAACCCAGUAAUCUUCGAAGCCUGACCAAUUUUUUCAACAUUUAUUUCCAUUCGGCUUUCAUUUCCAAUUCUGCGAAUCGCUCGCUCUGAUUUAAAUCACUUAGUUUACAAGCUGACCGCAUGCCAUUUUUUGUAUCAAAUUGUUCAGUGAUUCUUCCAGAUUUUAAACAAAAUGGUUUUAUUUAUGGCUUAUUAUAAGUGUCUACCAGUCUCAAGCCUUUUCUGGUUAUGCAACGGAAAUGCUCUUUUCAAAGUUAUUGGAACUUUUAAAACUGCAUGUCGCAACUUUUACCUUCCUGGUAUAAAGCGCUAAUUAAAUAAUAUUCGUAUGUUAUUUCUGACUUAAUAAAUGCAAUUAGCUUUGUUUCUAAUGCUCGUAUAGCAUAAGGCAAAAUGAGAAAUGUUACAUAAUUGUAA